CCUUCCCAGACCUCAUUUAAGGGUUGGCAGUAGGGGUGAGAUUAUUUUGUUGAAGAUCUCUGCUUAUGAAAGGUUCUUCUAAAGAUGCAGUUGUGCUGUCAUAGAAGGCCAGUAAGUUGGUCGGGCAGGAUUUGUCCUUGCUGAAGCUAUGCUGGUCAUCUUGUUUCACCUCCCUCACUUCAUAUGCCUUAGCGUAACUUCCAGGGGGAUUUGUUCCAUGAUUUACUCCAACACAGAGUACAAGAGAAAACAUUUUCCUAUCAGUAUUUAUGUAAGAAUAGGAAAAAAAGUUGUACAAAACCUUCAGAGAAGCAUUUAUAAGCAGGUGGAGAGCAAACAAAUUACAACCUAAGAUAGGCAACAUUAAGGAGGUCUUCUCAGAAUCACAGUUUGUUACAUAGCCUGGCUGUCUCUACCUGAUGUGUCUGACUCAGUAGCUGGGAAAGAAGUGUCUUCUAUCAAUCAAUGACAGAAAGUGCUGAAUCUGAAGAUGCUGACUGUGUGCCAUGUAGGGCAGGCAGACUGCUGAUAGCAGUGUCAAGGGAAGUUUAAAAAAAAAAAUUCUAUGAGUGUUAAAUGCCUUUCUAAAAGUUUUCAAAAGAUUGACCAGGAAGUAGAAUAUAUGCUCCUCAAAAGAGCAACCAUAUGAAUAACUAAAGAAUAGAACUUACAGAACAAAAUUAAAAAUUUCAUUACCACUUACUAGGAGCUGAAUAUUCUAUUAAAAAGUUUCAUGAUGCCUUCUCAAUAUUGUAUGACAAAUAACAUUUAAAUUAUUCCACAGUGAACUGAACAGACAUUAAAUAAACACUACAACAACUGUUUAAGAGCUUUUAAAAAGAGAUGAGUGUUUAUAGUGAUAUGUAACUUUAGUAACAAUUUUAGAGGUUACAACCAAUUUCCAUGGUGAACAGUGUUAUCCAUUGCUAUGAGACUGUGCAUAUUAUUCAACUUCAUUGUCUAGUAACUAGCUUACAUGUAGGAUAUGUGCAGAAUGUCCUUUAUAAUAAAGCUAUUAUAUGCCUUUACUAGCAUGUUUAAUUAAAUAUGUUAAACACAUCCUGUCACAAAAUAUGAAGCUUUCAUUCAAUUGAAAGCCUGUAAUUGUUCUGGUUAGGAGUGGGAAUUCACAUCAGUUUAGUGUCUUUCCUUUCCCAGUAAGGAAUGAAGUUUUCUCUCAAUAUGAAAAAGUUACCUAUACAAAGUAACUGAUACUAGGAAUUGCCAUUCUAAGUAUUGAUCUUAGUUCUAUUUUGAGAUUCUUCUUUUUAAGCCAUAUUUCUAAAAAUACUGGCUUCUUAAUAAAAUCUAGGGAGCUCCCUCAUCAGAGAAGGGUUUGGCAAGGCCAAAACUACACAGGUAGUGCCAACAGAAAAAAGCCCUGUAGAAGAAUAGGAACUGAUUUUCUGUAAAGCCAAUUGAUUUGAUAAUUGUAGCUCAUAUUGGCAGACAAAUUCAAGAUGUCAUUUAGCAGUGCUUUGUCAAGGUUAAUGAAUCUGCUUGUCUUUGGCUAGUAUGAGCAACCUCACCAUGGAUCACAAUUAGCUUCUCACAAUCCUCUGUUGUUUGCACUGCACAGAGCAAUGUACCAUUUCAUAGAUACAAAACCACCUAUUUUAUGUUCUGCUCUAGACAAUGGAACUUUAAUGUACUCUUGACAAAUGGGCUGCACUGAGUUUCUAACAUGCAAACUCAGAGUUUCUAAACAAAAAAUUUAUUUAGGCAGCAGAAGGCCCACAGGCCAAAAGCUGAUAAAGAGUUCUGAUGCAGAGAUUUAAGCUGAGCAUUAUUUUCCUUGUGUUAGUUUGUGUUCUGUUCAGGAUCAUUGUAGAUUUUCAUAAUAGGACUGUGGAGUUCCAGAUGAAUCAUUUUGCUCUGCUCAUGAUCUAAUUCCAUGAUUUUGUAUUCUUUAAUUAAAAUUGUAAUCCAUGCUUUUAUUUAAGUAUAUUCCAUCUACACGGUUUUCUGAUGGAGUAAUCGCUGUUGAGUAGAAGAAUCUGACACUUUCACUUUCUGGGUAACAUUCUUUAAAAAUAUGCACAAAACUAGCUAACUAUC